UGUCACUUCAUAUAUGUUUGUCAACUGUUUGUCAAUUGUCCCUAAUGUUUUAAUAAUCUUAAAUGUCAUGAAAAUUAAAAGAUAAACCAUAAUUAAUGUUUUAAAUCGUUUUUUCUAUUAAUGUACAUAGAAAAAAGCAAGUAACGAACUGUUAUUUCUAUUAAAUGAAUUAUGGAAACGGGUAAUAAACGUUCUCCAACGAGAUGUCGAGAAUGGGAGCGUCAAAGACGUUACAAAUUCAACGAUGCCCUUACAAAACUCGGGGAAAUAGUAAUAUCUAUAAACAAAGCCAGGGAUUUAAUUGGAAGUGAAAAUGUGCAAUAUCCAAAAAGUUGAAAUAGUGCAAAAGCUAUCCUAUGCCUCACCGACUGCACACAUGAACAAACACAACUAAAAGCUGAAAUUUUAGCUUUGCAAGUGGAACUUGAAAGUGUCAAACAUAAAAAACAAUACAAAGAUGCAUCACAUCAAGUUUAUAUUGAAGUAAAUAAACAGGAGACAGAGACACAAGUAGCUGUAAGCACAAAAGAUGCCUCAAUUCAAGUGUCAUCGGGAGCUAUUAGGAGAACUAAAAAUGGAAAGCAUAUGAAGAUGAAAAUUCUGCAGAAAA
rnacentral:lncRNA from 1 species